rnacentral:tRNA from 1 species
AACGCUCUUAGUUCAGUUCGGUAGAACGCGGGUCUCCAAAACCCAAUGUCGUAGGUUCAAAUCCUACAGAGCGUGAUUCGGAUCUUCUUCGAUCGAAUUCGACUG